rnacentral:sRNA from 1 species
CAUUCUCUGGUUCCUAGCGCACACGAGCACACAUGCAACUUUGUUUGGUAUUGUUUGGUAUUGUUUGUGCAGCCACACAGCCACUUUCGUCCUCUUCGUUCGUCCAUUGAGCUUCCCAAAGUCUCUGCUUUUAGGCACACAUAAACAGCUUCUUGUUCGUGGAGGUUGAAGUUGGUUUUGUUCAUGUUUAGUCAUUUUCAUCUUUUUCUUUCGUCCAUUGUCAUUGUCCAAAAGUUGAUGCAUUCGUUUUUUUCAUUUUUAUAGCAUGUUGUAAUUAUUAUAGUAGAUUGUAG